GGAGCGCGACGCUCUCCCCAAGGACGAAGCCAUGCAUGCCCGCUCACCCGGGACGCGGCGGACGGCUCAGGACGACGGUUGCACCCCCCGCGGCGGUCCCUGCUAGCCGGACACCGCUGGCAACCCGGCGCCAAGACGUGCGCGCAAGGGCGGGCGCCCGCGGGCGAGCAGCGUGACGCAGCGACGGCCCGCCCGGGCUUCCGGGGCAUCACCCGGUCGGCGCGGUCGCGGCGCGCCGGGGGCCCGACG
rnacentral:rRNA from 1 species